GUUGACCUCGGAUCAGGUAGGGAUACCCGCUGAACUUAAGCAUAUCAAUAAGCGGAGGAAAAG
rnacentral:rRNA from 5 species